rnacentral:lncRNA from 1 species
UUCUCUCAUUCUCAAGCCUCAAUCGCUCAUUGGCAAGCUUCUCUCUCUCCAUUUCUCUCUCCUUCUUGGUGCUAAAUUUCAACCAUUUUAAUCGCUGCUUUUCAAGCUCAAAAGCUUGAAACUGGAUGCCAACACGCUGACCCUCCAGGUGCAUCAAUCUUGCAUCGAUCCACUGUCUUCUCUCAAAUGGACUCUUAGUUCCAUCUUGCAACAUAUUCACCAAUUCCAUAUUCAAUUGUUGAAUCAAAGGCGAAUUGAAUACGCUCUGCUUCUUCCUUGAAGAUCUACCAUCUGUGUCAUUGACGUCCCCAUGAUCGUGAUUGUGACCUCUUGAUCCUCGAUCAACCACCUCAUCAUUAUCCUCAUAGCUGUCUCUAUCAUCUUCAUCUCCUAACUGAGGUCCAUUUAGACGGAAACCGUCCGAAACACAAUUAGUUGACCAUGAAAAUUCCUUGAAUUAUCUGCUAUCGUCACGAUUUUAUUGGAUAUUGAUAUCUUUUUGGACGGUGUUUUGGACAAUUUUAUUGCAUGUUGAUUCUUUAAUUUUUCCAUUUUUGACGGUUUUCGUCCAGAUGGACCUUAGAUUCAUAUUUGUGAAAGGUUAGAAACUUAUAUUGGUACAAAAUGAAAGUUAGAGUAAAAUCUGCAAAAAAUGAAAAUGUUAAAAAUCGUUGCUACAAUUUUCCCAAAAGAAAAUCUCAAACGUUUGGGUGAGAAGAGGACGAAAUUGGUAAUUAAUCAAAGGUAACCAUCUGGUCCCGUUAAACGCCUGCCCUAUCUAUAUCACUGACAACUUGCUUUCCUUUUCUCAUGCCUCUUUCACAAGCUAGUCCCCCACUCCCUAGCCCACCCCAACUUGAGGUGCUUCUUAGAUCCUAAGAUGGAAACAUAAAAUCAGUAGUACACAAACUCAAUCUUUAUCUUAAAAGAUCAGUCUUAUCGAGAGAACUAAUUUAUACCAUACAUGUUGAUUAUUAUAUUCAUCCUUAGUUCGAUGUAAAAAUUUAUCUUGUUUGUUAUUGAUUUAAAUCAUAUUUUAAUAUAAAUCAAAGUCAAACAAUCAAUAUUAAUAACACAUUUCAUUGGUUCCACAAUUUUUCAGCCACAUAUUUCAAUUUUUUUUUUUUUAUAUAAAAAUCUACAAAAAAUCUAAUUUUGAUAUCCACUAAACAAGGUUUCUUCGACAUAAUUAGUGGCAAUUUUAUAAGAAUACCAAUAUUAGAAUUUGAUUGCUCGUUGAGCUUCUAAUGGCUUGAAUUGUUCAUUUAAACUUAAUAGAUUGUGAUGCCAUAUUGAUCUUGAAAUUCAAUCUUACACCCGUCCGUGUGAUGAUGCUAAUUCAAAAAACCCCAAUAGGAAAAAAUGUGAUCUUGUUGUGUCUGUCAAAAUGCAAUAACAGGAGUGAGAGAAUUCGUGGGUGUUUAUACGGUGCAUAUAUAUACAGCAUUAGCUGGUAUUAGUUUUGGGUUGCCCGAGGGCAUAUCUCCCAAUGGCAAAUGAGAGGGCGGAUAGGGUUCAGCGCGGCAGUGUGCAGAGUUCGAUUCCUCGCAAGAUGGAAUUGACUUUGUUGCAAGCGGGAGUUACCAUAUGGGUUAACAGUCUUGGCCUAUCCAUAUGCUCUCCACCCUGACUCCUGGGAGACACAUCCUGCGAUUUACCUCUUCCACGAUGGCCCAAAACAGGGUCAGUGGAGACCCUUAAGGUUCGGGUUCAACCUUUUUUUUUUGUAUUAGUUUUGGGUUUCCAUUUGAUGGCAGAAAGAAACUGUUAAAUUGAAUUCGAUAUAAUAAUGAAUAAAAUUUUAAUUUUUAAAAUUAUUAAGUAAUUAUCUAAUUUAUCCUACUAGACGUAUCAAAGUUUUAUUUAUUUUAUUUUAUGGGCUCCAUUGAUAUAUUAGAUCGUGCAAUAUUGAAAAUAAUUAGAAAAAGGAAAGCAAAAUCUAUAUCUAUAGUUUUGUGCAGCUUUAUUUAAUUUAUGUUUGGCUUUCAUUUUUUAAAAUUUAUUUUUUUCUCAAAUUCAUUUUCUAUCAUACAUUUCAUGAAACCUAAAACUUUUGGUUGAUUUCACUUACCCAAAAGAAUGUAGUAAUGUUUCAUUCCACUCGAUCCACUAGUCACUUGGUGCCCCCGCUUAGGUAUUGAGUUAUUCUAGAUCCAAAAUAAUGUGAGCAAAAUGCAUGCUACUUCGACUACACUAUUUGAUACUUGUUUAUUUUUCACUUAUAUAAAAAAUAGGGUGAAGAGAUUAAAGUGCAAAAAUUAUAUUUAUAGGAAUUGAGCAAUUAAUGAAACAUGUCCCCAAGGCGCCGAUACCCUAAUCUUGCUAUUGUAUUUCACAUGGAAGAAUUAGUUGGUAAUAAAGUGGUGUGAAGGUACAAGAAACACCACAAGUGCCUGCUUGUACCCACAUAAAGGACCUAUCUACAAGUUUGUGUUGAUUAGAUUGCUUUGGUUUAUGCAACUCAACAUAGGAUGAACAGAGGAUAAUAUUCGUAUUUUCUUUUCCAUUGACGAAUCUAUACACUCUCGUCUCGGGAUUAUUAUAUUGAAUACAUGCAACUUUGAUCUAAUGUCCAUCAUGGACAUGACAACAUCAAUACUAUCACGUUUAAGGUGGACAUUACAACGAAUGCCCAUCGUGAGCAUUAGAUCAUGUGUAUGAAUAUAUAUAUCUUAACAAUAUUUUAGAUUUUGUUCUCAAAGUAAUUUCACUUGAUUCUUGAACUUGAUAAGAGUUAAAAUUCUUUGUUAUGGAAGAUCUAACUAUUCGAUGGAUAUCAAAAUACGUCACCCAAUGUAAAUGAAGGAGAAAUUCCAUCAUCAUAUAGUGAACCAACCAAUGUAUUAAUGAAAUUUUAUGACGUGACUCGAAUUUGCAACUUUAAGCUAUGCAAUUUUAUUCAAAAAAUCAAUGGAAUAGUGAUUUUACCGUCUAUUAAAUCCUUGGGUCAUCUCUUCAUGAGGGAAUGAACAAAAAACUAAAUUUCUCAACGCCCAACUUAAAAACAACCACUUUCGUUUAAAAAAAAAAAAAAGGACGAUAAAAACACCCUAAUUAAACAAUAAUAAAAACCCCAACCAAAAGAAGAACAAAAAGAACAUAAAUACAUUUAUCUCUCGGAUGACACCAUUUCAUGGUCUGCCCACAAGCAUUAACCGUUGCCGGUCGAUCAGUCAUCAGUGUGCCAUUAGGUCUGACAUGAACAUGGGAUUUGCGUAGAAUUAUGUUAAAUAUAAAUAUGGCACCGAAUGACACUCAAAAGCAUAGUGAACGCGAUUUUCUACAUCUUAUUUAAUAUUUUGGUAUAGUAUACAAUUCGUCUUACUAAACAAACCAAUAUAGUAGUGUAAUGAUUAUACUUAAAAUUUAAUAGGAUAAUCUGAGAGCGCGUUUGAUUCAUUGGAAGGAACGAAUCAAAAAAUCUAAGCACAACUACUUUAAUAUUGUUCAAUCAUGUUCAGCUUCUUAUAUCAAAUGUGCCUGAUGAGUAAUUUCAUUAGCAACAUAAAAGAAUGUCCUAAUACAGUAGUAGUGGAACUAAUGGCCUGUUUCCAUCGAAAUUUUUUCAAUUUUUGGUAUGUUUGAUGGCAAUAAUUUUCUUGGUAAUUUGUUUUUCCUUCUUCCCUCCAUACAUGUGCAAUUUCCUUGGUUUUGUGGAAAUAAAAAUUGGUUUUCCGGUUGAUUAUUUAUUUAUUUUUUAAUUUCUUGACAAUUGGAACAAAUUUUAUCCCCAAUUAGAACAAAUUUUGUCCCUUUAAUUAAUAAUUUUCAUGAAAAACAAAGUCAAACGAACACUAUAAAAUUUUAAUAUUUUUCAAAUGAAAAAUUAUACCAAUCAAACAUAUUAAUUGACAAUUAUCAGGAAAACGAAUUCUAGACAAUUUAAUUCCUUGGAAUUCAUUUUCUUCACACCCAAAUUCCAUUCUUACAAUCAAACAGACCCUAAAUUCAAUCCAACAUAUUAAUCCUGCCAUACCAUGGCAGAUCCACAUGAGUUUAUGUGGGACAACUCAGAGAAUUUUCUAAUUUUGUUUGUUUUUGUGUUUUUAACCUAUUCUCAAAAUCUGGUUAUCCACCUUUAGCGGCUUCGAUGAAUGCCUCAAAACCAAGCAAAUAAGGGUUCGAUCCAUAAAAAUAAUUGUAUGGUAAUUUUGACGUUCACAAUAAAAAAUAUCAAAUUCCGCGACUAAUACCAUAUAACUUAUUCGAAUUAGUGGAUAUCACUAUAUUGACGUAUUCCUAAAAUUUUCCCUAAGCAAGAUGCCUACAUGCAUUAAAGAUAUCAUGGUACAAGUCCUACUCUAUAACUAAAUACAUCUAAGGAGAACGCGUAGUAGUACCCACCCGGCAGGAGCAGCAACGCCGCCUAAGAUUGGGUGCAGACUUGUGGCCCCGUAAAGCUUCAUCAAGAAGCAAUUAAUGGGAAGGCAAUUUUUACAAGGGAUCAGCACCAACUACAUAACCGCAGGCAUCAGCCCUUGCUUGACCUCUAUUUUUUUUUUUUUAUUAAUUUUCAAUCAUAUAUUCUCUCGUAAAAUAAUUUUACACUCAAAUUCAAAACUUUUAUCUACUUUUUAACAACACAUUCUACAAAAAAUUACUAAUUCAAAAGAUAUUUUCCCCCAAAAAAAGGGUUCAAAGAAGACAAAAUUUCAAAAAAAUUUAGUCCUUUAAAUCAAUUAAUGGGAAGGCAUGAGUAGUUAAAAAAGUCAAGUGAUUUAUUGAAGUCGAUGUUCAUUUACGAAAUAGUACAAAUUUCAUAGCUGUGCUUGGACGUAAGUAGCAGUGUUGAAGUUUUAAGAGAUUUUAUGGCUACGGUCAAAAAGUGUUUGUUCACCAAAAAAGGCCAAAAAAAAAAAAGUCUUUAAAAAUUAUUUUAAAGAUGCACAAAUUUUUAACUUUCGGAAAGCUCCACAUUCACUGUUAUGAAAAAUUGAAAUAUGAUUUUAAUAAAACUUUAAAGUUUUUAAAUAUUUCAAAUUUAUACCAAAAGGUAAAAGGAAAGAAUAAUCCUAUCUUUCACCCCACCCAAUUAAGAGUAAUGUUAUUCGUAGUCGCUCACUAAGACAGUUGACAUUCGUGACAUAUACAUGACAUGUGAUUUUUUUAUGCAUUAGUGAAAUAUAAAAAAGUUAAAGUUUUUUUUUUUUUUUUUUUCCUUUUCUUACCUUGUAAAACAAAUUAUAUGGAUUUUAUUUUAUACAUUUAAGUAAUAAAAUCUAGUUAAUUAACAAAUUUAUCUCAAUUAUUCGUUGCAGUUAAAACACGCCCGUAAAUCGAAGUUCAUACAAGCAGUUUUACGCAUAGUUCUGAUUGGGAUAAAUUAACAGGUUUGCGUUCUACAAAACAUAAUCUAUUGUUGAAUUAAAUAAAGAUGAACACCAAAUAUAAAGUGGUAAACUGGUAAACUACUAAGGAAAACAUCCACGGGCUUCCAAAUCACGGGAAAAAUAAUCUACAAUCACAAAAUAAAAAAUACAAUGUUUCAUUUUAAUAAUUUCGCAAAAUUAACUAAAAAAAUCAAAAGCAAAUACAAAACAACUCAUUUGUUUCCUUAUUCAUUUUGACUUGUUGGAAAAGUGAAGUCAAACUCUCUGAUCUUGACUUUAUUACCACUUCACUAUUGUAUUCAAUUGUAACCACUCCUUGGAUUAAAAUUCACCAAUCUUAACUCACGCUAAGUAGCUUGACCUUUGAGUCGAUUAUAUCAUUCAUACACAAGUAUGUUCUCUUCAAUUACAGUUGAAGAACACAAUUUUUGCUUUAAGGUACUUGACUAAAACAUCAACUGAUCAGAACUCAUUGAAGAGGUCAGAUGACUUCAGAACUUGCUACCGCAAGUUCGCUGAACAUGGACAAAUUUCCUUUUCACAUCCUUUAAUGAUUUCCUUUACUUAUAUAAAGGCUCCUCCAGGACACAAAUGUGUCUUAACUAAAGUAAGAAAGUUUUAUUAAAAAUCAUUUUAAUUUAAGCAAAUAAAUAAAUAAAUAUUGAGUAAAAAUAUAAAAUAUAUUUUAUUAUUUACUAAACAUAUUAGCUUAGUACAAAAUAAAUAAAUAUCUGGCUCCACCCACCAACUUGACGAUUUCCUAGCAUUAUGUGUAAUAACUUAUUUUCUUCUAAAGUAAUUGUUAAAAUAUAUAACUAUAUUUAUCUUUCACCAACCCCAAAAAAAUAAAUAAAUUCAUUCAAAAGUUACUUGAAAGUAAACUUUUCAUGCUUAAUCAGACAUGCUCAAAGUGAGACAUUUUUGAGAUGAUGUGGUUACAUCAGUAUCUCAAUUUCAAUUCAAAUAUGAAUUUGAUUCACUCUCCAUAUUCUGAGAAAUAUUUACCAUCCGAAAAGAAUGACGUAGUUACAGGGACACAAGGUGAUUCCAUUGUGAAAAACGUAAAAGUUCACAGAAGAUUAUUGGAGUUAACAAAUAACAAGAUUGAGGUGAAAUAAAUUUCUAGGCAUAUAAUAGCCGUAGAAAAAUAUUUACUGAUAAAGAUUUCAAAUCUGUCGUAGAAGUAAAUAUACGUUUCAAUCAUUCAGUGAUAAACACUCAUUUUCUCAUCAGGCAUCGCAUACGUGAACAAUUGUUAUAAACGGGAUAAACUGGCAGAUAGUAUCCUUUUUCUGGAAUAGCACCAUUAAGAAGCAAUGUCAGGUUACAUUCUGCCAUUGUUGAAACAGAGAAAGACUUGAAAGUUUUAGCAAGGCAAUUCAUUCUAUCGGGAACUAUAGUGAUUACCAAAUUGAAAUUCAAAUAACCUUUUAAGGAUUUUCAUGAAGUGCACGAGCUGCUACAAUUGUCAAAAGGUAAAUGUCUAAUUCGCUUUCAAAUCUACCUCUGUUCUCCAUUACAGUGUGGAGAGAUGGUGUUGGAAUGUGAAAGGUGAUAUUGGAAAAGCAUAUAACAAUUCUCUUAACAGAAAUGAAUACAGAUAUGAUCAGUUCUAAUAUGUCCAGCUCCGGUAUGGAAACUAGAUCAACAAAACUUGAGGCACAGAUCACAUGAAACUUGAACAUGAGAAACCAUAGUUGCGAUCUAGACAUGAAAUUUUGAAUGAUCUAUUGGGUAUUCAUAAACCAAAGUAUAUAAACCUGAGAAGUCAUGGAAGCAUAGAUCCUCUGCACCACUUUGGCUAGAAAAAAUUUUCUGCUGCUCUUACAGAUAUGAUUGUUCCUCCUCCUCCUCAAUAAAUGUCAUAGCAUCAUAAGCACAGACAUUGCUUUAUAAAAAAACUCGCAGCAGUAGAUUAAAGAGUCAAAAUGCUCAUAUUUAAAUCUUAUAUUGCAAAAGACCUGAUUCAGUAACAAAAUUUGGAAGAACAAAGCCCAAACAGCCUGUUUUUAUCUUUUGAUUUCUUCUAUCAUGCUAUGGAAUUGAUUUAUCUAGUAAUGGGGGAGGGGUCACCUAUCUUGUUGGACUAUAGCUAUUGGCGGUGAUGAUGAUGUUCAAGCAACUCGAGCUCCUUCUGGCGAAUUAGGAGAACCAUUCUCUCAUUCUCAAGCCUCAAUCGCUCAUUGGCAAGCUUCUCUCUCUCCAUUUCUCUCUCCUUCUUGGUGCUAAAUUUCAACCAUUUUAAUCGCUGCUUUUCAAGCUCAAAAGCUUGAAACUGGAUGCCAACACGCUGACCCUCCAGGUGCAUCAAUCUUGCAUCGAUCCACUGUCUUCUCUCAAAUGGACUCUUAGUUCCAUCUUGCAACAUAUUCACCAAUUCCAUAUUCAAUUGUUGAAUCAAAGGCGAAUUGAAUACGCUCUGCUUCUUCCUUGAAGAUCUACCAUCUGUGUCAUUGACGUCCCCAUGAUCGUGAUUGUGACCUCUUGAUCCUCGAUCAACCACCUCAUCAUUAUCCUCAUAGCUGUCUCUAUCAUCUUCAUCUCCGUCCUCAUCAUCAUCAUCGUCUUCAUCUUCCCCACUUGCCCCCUUGGACAAUUUAGAUCCCUCAUUUUCUCCUCUAUUCAAGUUAGGCAUUACUGGAGCAUUUACAGACGAAUGUAAACAUCUCUGCUGCUGUGACUGAAACUGAGUAUGGGAUGGCUCUGUUGCCACCUCCGCAGGUGAAUGUUGAUUACCACCA